rnacentral:sRNA from 1 species
UUUGCCUCUCAAUUUAGAAGUCUUUGAAGUCUGUUAUUGUGAUAAACUCAAGCCUUCAGCAAAGUGGAGAUUGGAAGAAAGCUUUCUUCGACAGUUUUCAAUUGGUGGGAGGGGAAGCGAGGAUCUCUUCCGGACGUUGCUGAAGGAAAAGCUGCUCCCUACUACUCUUGAAAAUCUCUACAUCUAUGGACUACCUAGUCUUAAAUCUUUUGACGGGAAGGGACUUCAGCACCUUACUUCUCUAAAGAGGCUACAAAUUCAUUGUUGUGAUAAUCUUGAAUUCCUUCCAGAAGAGGGGCUGCCAAUAUCUCUUUCUUUUCUAAGCAUUGAACGGUGUCCUUCCCUGAAGAAAAGGUAUCAGAAUAAAAGAGGGGACGACUGGUCCAAGAUAGCUGGCAUUCCUUGCAUAAAGAUUGAUGAGAAAGUGAUCAUAUGAGCUUCUGGAGUAUGUUUUGGUUCUCAUUCUGCAAAUCAAAGUCAGAGAACCGUGAAACUAUGCAAAGAUAGGUCUAUCCAAGGGCAGUUGUUGUUGACAGAGUGGUCCUUGAAUGGUGCUCAGGCAUGAAUAUGAUUAUCCGGCCUGCAUGGGAAGAGUUAACCCGGUCCCUCGAUGUUAUUUUUCCUCAUACUGCUGUUCUUUGAAUGCGGCGGCGUGCUUUCUCAUCAUUCUUCAAUGUCACGUAGCCACUGUCAUUUUCUGGUUGGUGUUGGUGUAGAAUGUUUUUCUGCAAACCUAACAGUUGAAGAUUGCA